rnacentral:antisense_RNA from 1 species
GAUAGCCAUAAAUCACAAAGGGAUUCAAGGUGGGUUCGCUGACGACGCGAACGGUUUGACUCGCUGCAUCAUAGAGUCCACCCCAGUACAUGGCUUUCCCCACCAGCAGCAAGGCCCCUGCGCCUAAAAAGAGCAGAUGAUGUCCCAAAAUGAGACCCAACUGUUUGGGGUCAUCCCA